AGGACUUGACCCAAACGUUAUCUAGAUGUUACUAAGCUGAAAACAGUUGUUGAAGCACUUCAAACUUUAAGGUCCAAAACACAACAAUGAUAGCCGUAUCAAAUACAUCACCAUCCAUGUCUUUUUCAGCCACCAUCAAACAUGGGAAUAUAUUUCCUCUGCCCAGCAGUGUAUACCAAACUUUGUAUCAGACUUGACAAGAAAAACGAGAAAUGUAGCGUUUGUAAUCAUAAAAUAAGCAACGAGAUAUCAUGGCAACGGUAAAUACAGGACCCCAGAGGACAACAAGGCCAUUGGGGUGUUGUCACGUUGCAGUCGCUGUAAACACAAUAUCGUUGAGGACGCUGCCGUUAGUGACCUGCAUGAAGGGGAGAUGGCGGGAGUGGUGUAUGCAUGGCGGAUGUACAUGGAGGGGGCACCUGUUGGAUUCUGCUGACACAUUGACAUCGCUUUCCUCAUGAAGACCGUUUUGGUACUGUCACUGUAACUGCUGGCCGCUUCCGUCUGGACUUCCACCAUCGGAUGGUGGCUUUUUGGUGACUCGGAAAGAGAGACACGUAGAUCAGCAGAGCCGACGAAGUCGAACGUCCUGCACCACCAACCGGCAGUCCUCCCCCACCCGAGGGAGACGGACCUCCACGUCCACGCAGACAUGUAGAACAAGAAAGUGAACGUCCUUCACCACCAACUUUCAUUAAGCCAAACAUACACUUGUUUAAGCUCUCGUUAUAUUUGGACUCGAUUAUUGUAACAACAUCCUAUCUGGCCUAUAUCCUAAGCUCAUUUACAAGCUACAGUUGUAAAUAAUCCAGCUGCACGCAUCAUUAGAACACCUGUUCUGAGCGACACCAACUGGCUGCCUGUCAGGGCCCGGAUUGACGUCAAGAUACUUUGUUUCAUAUGUACAUUUCUUCACAGACUGACACCCUCUUACACCCUAAACUAAGGAAGGGUAUUCUAUAUAUAAGAGACCCGUGAAGACCCGGGGUAGAAUAGGUCUUUAGCAACCCCUGCUUUCCGAAAAAGGCGCCUAUGCUUGUCGUAAAAGGCCACUAACGA
rnacentral:misc_RNA from 1 species